CAGGACCGUCCGUCGCGAGCUUGGUCGUUUUCCUCUGCAAUUCCCAACACAAAUUCUCUCCUCGGCUUCCACUCAUUUCGCAUUUCUCCUGUUCCUGUAAAUACCCCUUCAAAACCCAAUCUCUCUCUGCAAUUCCUAUUCCUCUCUCCAAACCACUUCUCAAAAACCCUAGAAUUAGCCCACGAAAAAAAAUCCCAGAAAUACCCUAGCCCUAGCUCUCUCUAACCCCUCGUUCUUAGAUCCAUGGUCGUCUUCCACCCAUCUCAGGCUCUCGAUCCCUAGCUCUGCUACUGUCGUCGUUGGCUGUGGCGAACACCGAGGGGAUGCUCUCUACACGCUGCGGCGGAGCCUGUCGGAUCCCGACAACGUGCUCCAGAGCUGGGAGCCGACGUUUGUCAAUUCGUGCACCUGGUUCCAUAUCACCUGCAAUCAGGACAAUCGGGUCACAAGGCUAUAACUUUACAAGAACAAUAUGCACAGGAUAAUACCGGCUGAGCUUGGUAACUUGAAGAGCCCAAUCAGCUUGGACUUGUAUAACAACAGCAUAUCAAGGCCCAUUCCCCCAACAUUGGGGAAAUUGAAGUCGCUUGUGUUCUUGUGAGUCGAGACAUCUUAUUGUCACCUUUCAUGUGUAUAUGUAAGGGUUAAGUAGAAUUGACUUUGAACUGUUAUGAGAUUUUCUAUCUCAAGAUCAGAUUGAAACCUUCAACAGGGUGUCCCAGGUGCGACUCAUUAGAGUCAUCUCAUUUUGGAUGUUACUAAGUCGGAGUCACAUAGACAACCCUCGUGAGUAGAGGAAAAUAUUAGAAAUGCGUGAUAUUAGGCAAGUUACGAGAACCUUUAAGAAAAAAAGUGAAGUUGCGAGUUGCAAUAGUGGUCUCGCUGAGCAAUGAGUGUAUAAUUUAUUUGUGGCCUUAUGGGCAAUUGGCUUGUUGGUCCUUGUAUCUUUUAGACACUCGGUUAAUGACAAUUGGUUAUUUGGGCUAA